AUUCGAUGAUACGCGAGGAACCUUACCCGGACUCAAAUGCAGAAGGAACGGUCCAGAGAUGGGCCGGCCCCUCGGGGCCGUCUGCAAGGUGCUGCAUGGUUGUCGUCAGCUCGUGCCGUGAGGUGUCAGGUUAAGUCCUAUAACGAGCGCAACCCCUACGUCCAGUUGCCAGCGGGUAAAGCCGGGGACUCUGGAGGGACUGCCGGCGCAAGCCGAGAGGAAGGUGGGGAUGACGUCAAAUCAGCACGGCCCUUACGUCCGGGGCGACACACGUGCUACAAUGGCCGGUACAGAGGGCAGCCACCCCGCGAGGGGGAGCGAAUCUCGAAAGCCGGUCUCAGUUCGGAUCGGAGUCUGCAACCCGACUCCGUGAAGUUGGAUUCGCUAGUAAUCGCGCAUCAGCCAUGGCGCGGUGAAUACGUUCCCGGGCCUUGUACACACCGCCCGUCAAGCCAUGAAAGUCCGUGGUACCUGAAGUCCGUGACCGCGAGGGGCGGCCUAGGGUAAAAACGGGUGAUUGGGGCU
rnacentral:rRNA from 1 species